AAGUCGUAACAAGGUUUCCGUAGGUGAACCUGCGGAGGGAUCAUUACCACGUUUCCAACGUACUAACAAACCGCGAACUUGUAACAAUUACCUGUAGUUAACAUUGGAGUUCUGAGCCCCUUGAUGGGUUACUGGGAAACCAGUGACGUGGGCUUUCCUCUACCAGAUGAAAUAAGCUGGAGGUGUUUCUAUGGGCUUUUUAAAUGUCCCAUCAUAACCUAUCUUUACGAUAUCACCUAUACCAAUUGACUAACCCCUUGACUUGCUACCGGCAACGGUACAAGUUGAAUCGUAGUUUAUCAUAACUAAGUACAACUCUUAGCAACGGAUAUCUCGGUUCUC
rnacentral:misc_RNA from 1 species